UACGUAGGGUGCGAGCGUUAAUCGGAAUUACUGGGCGUAAAGCGUGCGCAGGCGGUCUGUUAAGACCGAUGUGAAAUCCCCCCGGCUUAACCUGGGAACUGCAUCCGAUACUGGAUGGCUUGAAUUCGGGAGAGGGAUGCAGAAUUCCAGGUGUAGCGGUGAAAUGCGUAGAUAUCUGGAGGAAUACCGGUGGCGAAGGCGGCAUCCUGGACCAUAGCGACGCUGAG
rnacentral:rRNA from 1 species